GGGAAACCGGAGCUAAUACCGGAUAAUAUAUUGAACCGCAUGGUUCAAUAGUGAAAGACGGUUCUGCUGUCACUUAUAGAUGGAUCCGCGCCGCAUUAGCUAGUUGGUAAGGUAACGGCUUACCAAGGCAACGAUGCGUAGCCGACCUGAGAGGGUGAUCGGCCACACUGGAACUGAGACACGGUCCAG
rnacentral:rRNA from 1 species